rnacentral:rRNA from 1 species
GAGGGGCAUAGUUUGGUUUGCUUGCAACCAAAGCUGGCGACCGGCGCACGGGUGAGUAACACGUAUCCAACCUGCCUCAUACUCGGGGAUAGCCUUUCGAAAGAAAGAUUAAUAUCCGAUAGCAUAUAUUUCCCGCAUGGGUUUUAUAUUAAAGAAAUUCGGUAUGAGAUGGGGAUGCGUUCCAUUAGUUUGUUGGCGGGGUAACGGCCCACCAAGACUACGAUGGAUAGGGGUUCUGAGAGGAAGGUCCCCCACAUUGGAACUGAGACACGGUCCAAACUCCUACGGGAGGCAGCAGUGAGGAAUAUUGGUCAAUGGACGCGAGUCUGAACCAGCCAAGUAGCGUGAAGGAUGACUGCCCUAUGGGUUGUAAACUUCUUUUAUAUGGGAAUAAAGUGGUCCACGUGUGGAUUUUUGUAUGUACCAUAUGAAUAAGGAUCGGCUAACUCCGUGCCAGCAGCCGCGGUAAUACGGAGGAUCCGAGCGUUAUCCGGAUUUAUUGGGUUUAAAGGGAGCGUAGGCGGAUUGUUAAGUCAGUUGUGAAAGUUUGCGGCUCAACCGUAAAAUUGCAGUUGAUACUGGCAGUCUUGAGUGCAGUAGAGGUGGGCGGAAUUCGUGGUGUAGCGGUGAAAUGCUUAGAUAUCACGAAGAACUCCGAUUGCGAAGGCAGCUCACUGGAGUGUAACUGACGCUGAUGCUCGAAAGUGUGGGUAUCAAACAGGAUUAGAUACCCUGGUAG